rnacentral:tRNA from 1 species
GAAUGGUGGCUCAGUGGUAAGAGCAAUUGCCUAGCAUGUGUGAGGUCCUGGGUUCGAUUCUCAGCAUCA